UACAGAGGGUGCGAGCGUUAAUCGGAAUUACUGGGCGUAAAGCGCACGUAGGCGGCUUGGUAUGUCGGGUGUGAAAUCCCCGGGCUCAACCUGGGAACUGCAUCCGAAACUGCCUUGCUCGAGUAUGGGAGAGGGAAGUGGAAUUUCCGGUGUAGCGGUGAAAUGCGUAGAUAUCGGGAGGAACACCAGUGGCGAAGGCGGCCCGCUGGGCUGUGGCUGACGCUGAGGCGCGACAGCGUGGGGAGCAAACAGG
rnacentral:rRNA from 1 species